rnacentral:rRNA from 1 species
GACGAACGCUGGCGGCGUGCUUAACACAUGCAAGUCGAACGGAAAGGCCCUGCUUUUGUGGGGUGCUCGAGUGGCGAACGGGUGAGUAACACGUGAGUAACCUGCCCUUGACUUUGGGAUAACUUCAGGAAACUGGGGCUAAUACCGGAUAGGAGAUCCUGCUGCGUGGUGGGGGUUGGAAAGUUUCGGCGGUUGGGGAUGGACUCGCGGCUUAUCAGCUUGUUGGUGGGGUAGUGGCUUACCCAGGCUUUGACGGGUAGCCGGCCUGUGAGGGUGACCGGCCACAUUGGGACUGAGAGACGGCGCAGACUCCUACGGGAGGCAGCAGUGGGGAAUAUUGCACAAUGGGCGGAAGCCUGAUGCAGCAACGCCGCGUGCGUGAUGACGGCCUUCGGGUUGUAAACCGCUUUCGCCUGUGACGAAGCGGGAGUGACGGUAAUGGGUAAAGAAGCACCGGCUAACUACGUG